AUGGAGGCUUUAUGCACCGGCCAGGCUUUUCCAGGAGGUUCGCUCUCCCCUUUCCAAGUUCCACUCCCUUCCCGAGCUCUUACAUCGUGGCGCGGCCGGCGAAACCCCUUCUUUCCUGGGCUGCGAUACAGAGGCGGCACCGGAGUGUCUGGGCCCGCGCCCUGCGCAAAGGAGAAAGCGGGAAGCCAAGAGCGCGAAGCAUCAUUGGCCGGGCGUAGCGGUCACCAAGCCUCUGCAGUUUGCAGUGUUUGUUUCAUUCUUCAUCUACAGCGAGUAAACCAAGCCAAGCAGAAGGGUGUGGAUCGUUUGUCACUCUCUCUAAACCAGGAACAAGAGAAAAUAAACAGAAGCUUGCUCAAUCCAAUCCUGCCUGAGAACAUGCAAGCGAGAAGCGGCCGGAGAUCCAAACCUUUCUUAUGGGGGGAAUGAAAGAAAACAGGUUCAAGCCACUCUCUGCAGGUUAAGGUGAAGCCAAAGCCCAGUUCACACCUGAGUUGAAACCCUGGGCCUCUUGCUCUUAAGAGUGUUCUCAGCAUAGGAAAUGACUCAUGUAAAGUAACUAUACAUUGAAGAACGCUUUUGAGCAUGGAAAGGUUAUCAAGAACCACGUCUCUCCUACAGGUAGUCCUCAAAUUACAACAGUUGGUACAGUGACCGUUUGAAGUUACAAUGGCACUGGCAUGACCAUUUUUCACACUUACGACCUCUGCAGCAUCCCCAAGGUCACGUGAUCAGAAUUUGAAUGUUUGGCAACUGAUUCAUAUUUAUGAUGGUGGCAGUGUCCCAGGGUCACGUGACUACCUUUCUGACAAACACGAUUCACUUAACAAUCAAGUUAUUAGCUGAACAACUGGAUUCACUUAGCAAAUGUGGCAAGUAAAGUAAAAAGGGGCAAAACUCACUUAACAAAUUUCUCACUUAGCAACAUAAAUUCUGGGCUCAAUUGUGGUCAUAAGUUGAGGACUAUUUGUAUUUCAUCCACCUGGUUUACCAGGAUGGGGAGGCAGUGUACAUUAUGGGUCCCCUUGAUUAGGGAUGUACUUUAUAUCUAAUAUAAAUAUGGUUAGUCUCCACCCUGUUGCUUUGCCAAAAGGCCCCUUAAAAAGGCCUGGGGACCACAAAUGGAGAUGGAGCUGAUUAAGGACUGAUUUGAUUAUGUUCUUGCUGACAGGUGAGGUGGGGUGAGAUUUUUUUUUAAUCAGUUUUUAUUAUGUGGUGGAUUUUUAAAAUAUUGUAAAUCGCCCAGUGUAGGAUUGGCUGUGAUAUAAAUUUAUUUAAUAAAUAAACAACACAAGCAGCUUGUGAAUUGAGAGUUAGAAGAUAGGUUUCCAGUCCAAACAUGAGGACAAUUGGAACCUUUUCUGAUAAGCAAUAAAGUUCUGGUCCAAAUUUC
rnacentral:lncRNA from 1 species